AUUGAACGCUGGCGGCAGGCCUACCACAUGCAAGUCGAACGAGUGGCGGACGGGUGAGUAAUGUCUGGGAAACUGCCUGAUGGAGGGGGAUAACUACUGGAAACGGUAGCUAAUACCGCAUACCAUCGGAUGUUCCCAGAUGGGAUUAGCUAGUAGGUGGGGUAAAGGCUAACCUAGGCGAAGAUCCCUAGCUGGUCUGAGAGGAUGACCAGACAAACGGGAAAGGAUACACGGUCCAGACUCCUACGUGAGGCAGCAGUGGGGAAUAUGGCACAAUGGGCGCAAGCCUGAUGCAGCCAGGCCGCGUGUAUGAAGAAGGCCGUCGGGUUGUAAAGUACUUUCAGCGGGGAGGCGUUACCCGCAGAAGAAGCACCGGCUAACUCCGUGCCAGCCGCCGCGGUAAUAC
rnacentral:rRNA from 1 species